rnacentral:misc_RNA from 1 species
GAUGAAGAACGUAGCGAAAUGCGAUAAGUAAUGCGAAUUGCAGAAUUCCGUGAGUCAUCGAAUCUUUGAACGCACAUUGCGCCCUCUGGUAUUCCAUGGGGCAUGCCUGUUCGAGCGUCAUUUGUACCUUCAAGCUCUGCUUGGUGUUGGGUGUUUGUCUCGCCUCUGCGUGUAGACUCGCCUCAAAACAAUUGGCAGCCGGCGUAUUGAUUUCGGAGCGCAGUACAUCUCGCGCUUUGCACUCAUAACGACGACGUCCAAAAGUACAUUUUUACACUCUUGACCUCGGAUCAGGUAGGGAUACCCGCUGAACUUAAGCAUAUCAAUAAGCGGAGGA